rnacentral:rRNA from 1 species
GACGUAGGGUGCAAGCGUUGUCCGGAUUUAUUGGGCGUAAAGAGCUUGUAGGCGGCUUGUUGCGUCGACUGUGAAACCGCGGCUAACCGCGGCUUGCAGUUUGAUACGGGCAGGCUAGAGUUCGGUAGGGGAGACUGGAAUUCCUGGUGUAGCGGUGAAAUGCGCAGAUAUCAGGAGGAACACCGGUGGCGAAGGCGGGUCUCUGGGCCGAUACUGACGCUGAGGAGCGAAAGCGUGGGGAGCGAACAGG